rnacentral:rRNA from 1 species
UUAAGCGACUAAGCGUACACGGUGGAUGCCCUGGCAGUCAGAGGCGAUGAAGGACGUGCUAAUCUGCGAUAAGCGUCGGUAAGGUGAUAUGAACCGUUAUAACCGGCGAUUUCCGAAUGGGGAAACCCAGUGUGUUUCGACACACUAUCAUUAACUGAAUCCAUAGGUUAAUGAGGCGAACCGGGGGAACUGAAACAUCUAAGUACCCCGAGGAAAAGAAAUCAACCGAGAUUCCCCCAGUAGCGGCGAGCGAACGGGGAGCAGCCCAGAGCCUGAAUCAGUGUGUGUGUUAGUGGAAGCGUCUGGAAAGGCGCGCGAUACAGGGUGACAGCCCCGUACACAAAAAUGCACAUAUUGUGAGCUCGAUGAGUAGGGCGGGACACGUGGUAUCCUGUCUGAAUAUGGGGGGACCAUCCUCCAAGGCUAAAUACUCCUGACUGACCGAUAGUGAACCAGUACCGUGAGGGAAAGGCGAAAAGAACCCCGGCGAGGGGAGUGAAAAAGAACCUGAAACCGUGUACGUACAAGCAGUGGGAGCACGCUUAGGCGUGUGACUGCGUACCUUUUGUAUAAUGGGUCAGCGACUUAUAUUCUGUAGCAAGGUUAACCGAAUAGGGGAGCCGAAGGGAAACCGAGUCUUAACUGGGCGUUAAGUUGCAGGGUAUAGACCCGAAACCCGGUGAUCUAGCCAUGGGCAGGUUGAAGGUUGGGUAACACUAACUGGAGGACCGAACCGACUAAUGUUGAAAAAUUAGCGGAUGACUUGUGGCUGGGGGUGAAAGGCCAAUCAAACCGGGAGAUAGCUGGUUCUCCCCGAAAGCUAUUUAGGUAGCGCCUCGUGAAUUCAUCUCCGGGGGUAGAGCACUGUUUCGGCAAGGGGGUCAUCCCGACUUACCAACCCGAUGCAAACUGCGAAUACCGGAGAAUGUUAUCACGGGAGACACACGGCGGGUGCUAACGUCCGUCGUGAAGAGGGAAACAACCCAGACCGCCAGCUAAGGUCCCAAAGUCAUGGUUAAGUGGGAAACGAUGUGGGAAGGCCCAGACAGCCAGGAUGUUGGCUUAGAAGCAGCCAUCAUUUAAAGAAAGCGUAAUAGCUCACUGGUCGAGUCGGCCUGCGCGGAAGAUGUAACGGGGCUAAACCAUGCACCGAAGCUGCGGCAGCGACGCUUAUGCGUUGUUGGGUAGGGGAGCGUUCUGUAAGCCUGUGAAGGUGUGCUGUGAGGCAUGCUGGAGGUAUCAGAAGUGCGAAUGCUGACAUAAGUAACGAUAAAGCGGGUGAAAAGCCCGCUCGCCGGAAGACCAAGGGUUCCUGUCCAACGUUAAUCGGGGCAGGGUGAGUCGACCCCUAAGGCGAGGCCGAAAGGCGUAGUCGAUGGGAAACAGGUUAAUAUUCCUGUACUUGGUGUUACUGCGAAGGGGGGACGGAGAAGGCUAUGUUGGCCGGGCGACGGUUGUCCCGGUUUAAGCGUGUAGGCUGGUUUUCCAGGCAAAUCCGGAAAAUCAAGGCUGAGGCGUGAUGACGAGGCACUACGGUGCUGAAGCAACAAAUGCCCUGCUUCCAGGAAAAGCCUCUAAGCAUCAGGUAACAUCAAAUCGUACCCCAAACCGACACAGGUGGUCAGGUAGAGAAUACCAAGGCGCUUGAGAGAACUCGGGUGAAGGAACUAGGCAAAAUGGUGCCGUAACUUCGGGAGAAGGCACGCUGAUAUGUAGGUGAAGUCCCUCGCGGAUGGAGCUGAAAUCAGUCGAAGAUACCAGCUGGCUGCAACUGUUUAUUAAAAACACAGCACUGUGCAAACACGAAAGUGGACGUAUACGGUGUGACGCCUGCCCGGUGCCGGAAGGUUAAUUGAUGGGGUUAGCCGCAAGGCGAAGCUCUUGAUCGAAGCCCCGGUAAACGGCGGCCGUAACUAUAACGGUCCUAAGGUAGCGAAAUUCCUUGUCGGGUAAGUUCCGACCUGCACGAAUGGCGUAAUGAUGGCGGGCUGUCUCCACCCGAGACUCAGUGAAAUUGAACUCGCUGUGAAGAUGCAGUGUACCCGCGGCAAGACGGAAAGACCCCGUGAACCUUUACUAUAGCUUGACACUGAACAUUGAGCCUUGAUGUGUAGGAUAGGUGGGAGGCUUUGAAGUGUGGACGCCAGUCUGCAUGGAGCCGACCUUGAAAUACCACCCUUUAAUGUUUGAUGUUCUAACGUUGACCCGUAAUCCGGGUUGCGGACAGUGUCUGGUGGGUAGUUUGACUGGGGCGGUCUCCUCCUAAAGAGUAACGGAGGAGCACGAAGGUUGGCUAAUCCUGGUCGGACAUCAGGAGGUUAGUGCAAUGGCAUAAGCCAGCUUGACUGCGAGCGUGACGGCGCGAGCAGGUGCGAAAGCAGGUCAUAGUGAUCCGGUGGUUCUGAAUGGAAGGGCCAUCGCUCAACGGAUAAAAGGUACUCCGGGGAUAACAGGCUGAUACCGCCCAAGAGUUCAUAUCGACGGCGGUGUUUGGCACCUCGAUGUCGGCUCAUCACAUCCGGGCUGAAGUAGGUCCCAAGGGUAUGGCUGUUCGCCAUUUAAAGUGGUACGCGAGCUGGGUUUAGAACGUCGUGAGACAGUUCGGUCCCUAUCUGCCGUGGGCGCUGGAGAACUGAGGGGGGCUGCUCCUAGUACGAGAGGACCGGAGUGGACGCAUCACUGGUGUUCGGGUUGUCAUGCCAAUGGCACUGCCCGGUAGCUAAAUGCGGAAGAGAUAAGUGCUGAAAGCAUCUAAGCACGAAACUUGCCCCGAGAUGAGUUCUCCCUGACUCCUUGAGAGUCCUGAAGGAACGUUGAAGACGACGACGUUGAUAGGCCGGGUGUGUAAGCGCAGCGAUGCGUUGAGCUAACCGGUACUAAUGAACCGUGAGGCUUAACCU